AGCGAACGUUUGCGGCGGGCUUAACACAUGCAAGUCGAACGGGCUGUUCCUUCGGGGGCAGUCAGUGGCGCACGGGUGCGUAACACGUAGGUAAUCAACCCUCUGGUUGGGGAUAACACUUCGAAAGGAGUGCUAAUACCCGGUAUGGCGCAGCGGUCUUCGGAUCGCGGCGAGAAAGACCCGCAAGGGUUGCCAGAGGACGAGCCUGCGGCCCAUCAGCUAGUUGGCGAGGUAACGGCUCACCAAGGCGAAGACGGGUAGCUGGUCUGAGAGGAUGAUCAGCCACACUGGAACUGAGACACGGUCCAGACUCCUACGGGAGGCAGCAGUGGGGAAUAUUGCGCAAUGGGCGAAAGCCUGACGCAGCCACGCCGCGUGAGCGAUGAAGGCCUCGGUCGUAAGACUCU
rnacentral:rRNA from 1 species